AUGUCUGGGAAUGCAAGCUUUGCCGCUACUGGGUUGCAACUAGGCCAACAAUAUCACCAACAACAAAUGUUUUCCUUCCCCAGCGCAUGCAAAAAGCCAAGGACAAGAAGGCUUCCACCAGUUGCUCCAUCAACAUUAAUCAUCCGUGCUGCAAAAGCAGUUGCAACAGGAAGACCACGGCAAAAAGAUAGAAAUUUUGGCCACUCUAGCAGGUUCAAAAGUACAAGAUAUGAGCCAUAUAGACAGGAGCAACAUCACAAUGAAUCUGAGGAGAGACGUCCGUACAACGAGAGACAGAGAUCUUCGUCAUCGUUGCUCCCUCCAAGAGAUGCAUUACUGCAUGUGCCAAGGGUGACACCACCGGCGCCCAUAAACCAGGGAGAAAAACAAACACCAAAGGCAGCGCAGAGCUAUACACAUCCACCUGACAUUGAAGCUUAUGUUCUGCCAAGGCUAGAGAUGAGGUUUGAAACUUUCGAAGAAACUAGGAACUUCUACAACGUAUAUGUGAAGCAUGCUGGUUUUGCUGUCAGGAAGGCCCCAAGUUUAAGACCAGAGCCUACCUUUAUUGCACGUGCCAUGGAGUUUAUGAAUCAAAGGCUACAGCUCACCGCAGAAAUGCUUGUCUUCUUGCACUCCCACAAAAACUUUGACAAAACAAUCUUGGAGUACGUCAAGUACCUACAGUUCAAAGGCAUUGAACACGCGCAAAUCAUGAGCAUUCCGGGCGGUGAUGACCCUGGUAGCUACUUCCUCGAAAUGAAUGCCAAAGACCUGAUUAACCUGAAAGCAAAGAAUUCAAGGAUUGAUGAUGUGGAUGAUGUCCUAAAGACUGUCAACUUCUUUAGGGAGAUGAAAGCUAUAAACAGGCAAUUCUUCUAUGACAUGCAACUCGAUGAGUCCGACAGAAAAAGACUCAUGGAUAAUUACAACCUCCACGAUGAUGCCACAAUGGUGGGCAUGUGGAACAAGCGUGAGAAAUGGAUAUCAGCCUACUUCAAAGAAAUUUUCUGCGCCAAAAUGACAUCCACACAGCGAAGUGAGAGCAUGAACUAUGUGCUCAAGAAGAACUACGUAAAUAAGAGACAUAACCUACACCGGUUUGUCAGCCAGAAGGAACAAAACACGCUGACCUUCUAUGGGUUUGACACCCAGAUGGCAAAGUUGUACACACGAGCUGUGUAUAGCGAGAUCAGAGAUAGGCUAAAACUGAGCACUCUCUUCAUGGCGACAGAGACGGAAGAGCCCACAAAGUACCUAGUGCGCUACAGCCACCCGCAAAAACUGUCUGUGUGGGCUCAGCACGCGUUCCAGGUGGUUGCAGACCCCGUGGGAGAAACAUAUGAGUGCGAGUGCAGGCUAUGGGACCACACAGGUGAGGACUACAAAAAAGAUACAAUUAAGGCUGAAAGCGUUCCAGAGAAAUACAUACUCAGGAGAUACACCAAACGCCCGAACAUCCAGCCAACAUUUGACAGAAAUGACUUGAGGAUAGUAGCGUCAAACAAGGCAUCCCAAUACUGCAUUGAAAGCUCACUGCUGACGUUGAACAUGAGGGUGCACAGAAAAAGCUUGAGAAGCCAAGAGCAAAUGGCAAGGACGCGGGUCAUCAUGGACAAACUUGAACAAGAACUCGACGCCAUGCAUUCUGCUGAAAAUGGAGGUGUCGCGGACAAUGAAGCCAUUGAGCAGGAUAUUGCUACAAUGUUGUCCGAGAUGAACCAUAUGGGAGCUAUUGACCCGUUUGAGAACGAGAAAGAGGAGCAGCAACAACCAGAGCUUACCCGUGUGCACACUCAAGAGCAUCGGCAAACUCACAUGCGAGAUCAUGAGCUUGAUGGUGCUAUAGGCGAACAACAUGACAAUAGCACAUCCUACCAGCAGCAGCAGGAAAGGGUGAUUAAACUCCCAAUAUUCUCAAACACAAAGGGGAGAAAGAGCAAGACACAAGCAGCGAAAGCAGCAGCCAAAAAGCCACCACGCCCCAUCAAGCGCGUGGAAUUUGGCCCAGACGGCAAACCCCUCGGGGUAAGGGCAUGCAGAUUCUGCAACGUCGUGAGCAACCAUAACUACCGCACAUGCCCACUCCACACAGAUGCCACUGUCAACAAGAACAAGCAGAUUGGAGCCACCCAGAUUUCUACCAAUGGAGACAACACACGUAACAGCUACACUUGCCGCAAGUGUGGCGGAACUGACGGACAUAAUGCCCGCACGUGCAAAGUGGGCAAGGAGGUCAGUGGAGCUGAACAUAAACAGGGCAAGGUACAGAGUUCCAAGCAAUCAAAUGAAGACGAUGAAGAAGAAGAGUUUGAUGAGAAUGACGGCCAAUCAGACGAAGACAAUGAAGAUGACAGUGUCGGGGGCGAGGAAACUGAAACUGACGAUGAAGCUGCCAAGGCUCAACCUGGAAAGAGCGCCGGCAAGGCACAACAUUCGGGGACAAUUAGGAGAAGCUCAAGACUGAACAAUACAUAG
rnacentral:rRNA from 1 species